UACAGAGGGGGCAAGCGUUAUUCGGAAUUAUUGGGCGUAAAGGGCGCGUAGGCGGCGAUUCAAGUGACGGUUGAAAUCCCUCGGCUUAACCGAGGAACUGCCUGUCAGACUGGAUUGCUUGAGGCCGGGAGAGGCGAGUGGAAUUCCCAGUGUAGCGGUGAAAUGCGUAGAUAUUGGGAAGAACACCGGUGGCGAAGGCGGCUCUCUGGACCGAGACUGACGCUGAGGCGCGAAAGCGUGGGGAGCAAACAGG
rnacentral:rRNA from 1 species